ACGCACGCUGGCGGCCUGCCUAAUCCAUGCAAGUAGAACGCUGAAGGCGGAGCUUGCUUCUCUGGAUGAGUUGCGAACGGGUGAGUAACGCGUAGGUAACCUGCCUGGUAGCGGGGGAUAACUAUUGGAAACGAUAGCUAAUACCGCAUAAGAGUAGAUGUUGCCUGACAUUUGCUUAAAAGGUGCCAUUGCAUCACUACCAGAUGGACCUGCGUUGUAUUAGCUAGUUGGUGGGGUAACGGCUCACCAAGGCGACGAUACAUAGCCGACCUGCGAGGGUGAUCGGCCACACUGGGACUGAGACACGGCCCAGACUCCUACGGGAGGCAGCAGUAGGGAAUCUUCGGGAAUGGACGGAAGUCUGAACGAGCAAAGCCGCGUGAGUGAAGAAGGUUUUCGGAUCGUAAAGCUCUGUUGUAAGAGAAGAACGAGUGUGAGAGUGGAAAGUUCACACUGUGACGGUAUCUUACCAGAAAGGGACGGCUAACUACGUG
rnacentral:rRNA from 1 species